rnacentral:rRNA from 1 species
AUUGAACGCUGGCGGCAGGCCUAACACAUGCAAGUCGAACGAGUGGCGGACGGGUGAGUAAUGUCUGGGAAACUGCCUGAUGGAGGGGGAUAACUACUGGAAACGGUAGCUAAUACCGCAUACCAUCAGAUGUGCCCAGAUGGGAUUAGCUAGUAGGUGGGGUAAAGGCUCACCUAGGCGACGAUCCCUAGCUGGGCUGAGAGGAUGACCAGCCACCCCUGAACUUAGGCACGGUCCAGACCCCUCCGGGAGGCAGCAGGGGGGAAGAUUUCACAAUGGGCGCAAGCCUGAUUCAGCCAUGCCGCGUGUAUGGAGAAGGCCUUCGGGUUGUAAAGUUCUUUCCGCGGGGAGGCGGUACCCGCAGAAGAAGCACCGGCUAACUCCGUGCCAGCAGCCGCGGUAAUAC